rnacentral:rRNA from 1 species
GAUGAACGCUGGCGGCGUGCCUAAUACAUGCAAGUCGAGCGAAUGGAUUAAGAGCUUGCUCUUAUGAAGUUAGCGGCGGACGGGUGAGUAACACGUGGGUAACCUGCCCAUAAGACUGGGAUAACUUCGGGAAACCGGGGCUAAUACCGGAUAACAUUUUGAACCGCAUGGUUCGAAAUUGAAAGGCGGCUUCGGCUGUCACUUAUGGAUGGACCCGCGUCGCAUUAGCUAGUUGGUGAGGGAACGGCUCACCAAGGCAACGAUGCGUAGCCGACCUGGGAGGGUGAGCGGCCACACUGGGACUGAGACACGGCCCAGAUUCCUGCGGGAGGCAGCAGUAGGGAAUCUUCCGCAAUGGACGAAAGUCUGACGGAGCAACGCCGCGUGAGUGAUGAAGGCUUUCGGGUCGUAAAACUCUGUUGUUAGGGAAGAACAAGUGCUAGUUGAAUAAGCUGGCACCUUGACGGUACCUAACCAGAAAGCCACGGCUAACUACGUGCCAGCCGCCGCCGUAA